UUAACACAUGCAAGUACGGGGGUCCGGGGGCAACUUCUGAUAACCGGCGAACGGCUGCGUAACACGUGAACAACCUGCCCUCGUGUGGGGGAUAGCCGGGCUAACGCCCGGGUAAUACCGCAUACGUUCUUUUCAGGGAGUCCUGGGAAGAGGAAAGCUCCGGCGCACGGGGAGGGGUUCGUGGCCUAUCAGCUCGUUGGCGGGGGUAACGGCCCACCAAGGCUGACUACGGGUAGCUUGGUCUGAGAGGAUGGCCAGCCACAUUGGGACUGAGAGACGGCCCAGACUCCUACGGGAGGCAGCAGUGGGGAAUCUUGCGCAAUGGCCGGAAGGCUGACGCAGCGACGCCGCGUGUGGGAGGACGCCUUUCGGGGUGUAAACCACUGUUGCCCGGGACGAACAGCCCUUUUCGAGGGGUCUGACGGUACCGGGUGAGGAAGCACCGGCUAACUCCGUGCCAGCAGGCCGCGGUAAUACGGAGGGUGCGAGCGUUGUCCCGGAAUCAUUGGGCGUAAAGGGCGCGUAGGUGGCCCGGUCAGUCUUUGGUGAAAGCGCGGGGGCUCAACCCUGCGUCGGCCAGGGAUACUGCCGCGGCUCGAGCACUUGUAGAGGCAGGCGGAAUUCCGGGUGUAGCGGGUGGAAUGCGUAGAGAUCCGGAAGAACACCGGUGGCGAAGGCGGCCUGCUGGGCAGUAUGGCUGACACUUGAGGCGCGACAGCGUGGGGAGCAAACAGGGAUUAGAUACCCUGGUAAGUCCACGCCGUAAAACGAUGGGCACCAGGCGCUUGGGGGGGAGCGACCCCCCGAGGGCCCGGCGCUAACGCAAUUAAGUGCCCCCCGCCUGGGGGAGUACCGGCCGCAAGGCUGAAACUCAAAGAAUUGACGGGGGCCCGCACAAGCGGUGGAGCAUGUGGUUUAAUUCGACGCAACGCGAAGAACCUUACCUAGGCUUGACAUACACGGGAAACCCUCGAGAAACCGGGGGCCCUCUUCGGAGCCCGGUGCACAGGUGCCUGCAUGGCUGUCGUCAGCUCGUGUCGUGAGAUGUUGGGUUAAGUCCCGCAACGAGCGCAACCCCUGUCUCUAGUUGCCAGCGCGUCAUGGCGGGGACUCUAGAGAGACUGCCGGUGCCAAACCGGAGGAAGGUGGGGAUGACGUCAAGUCAUCAUGGUCCUUACGUCUAGGGCUACACACGUGCUACAAUGGCGGGGACAGAGGGCUGCGAGCCGGCAACGGCGAGCCAAUCCCGUAAACCCCACCUCAGUUCGGAUUGUCGUCUGCAACCCGACGGCAUGAAGCUGGAAUCGCUAGUAAUCGUGGAUCAGCUACGCCACGGUGAAUACGUUCCCGGGCCUUGUACACACCGCCCGUCACGCCAUGGAAGCUGUGAGCGCCCGAAGUCCGUGUCGGAACCCGCAAGGGGCCAAGCGGCCGAAGGCG
rnacentral:rRNA from 1 species